rnacentral:rRNA from 1 species
AUUGAACGCUGGCGGCAGGCCUAACACAUGCAAGUCGAGCGGGGGUAGCAAUACCCUAGCGGCGAACGGGUGAGGAAUGCUUGGGAAUCUGCCUGGUAGUGGGGGGAUAACGUUCCGAAAGGAACGCUAAUACCGCAUACGUCCUACGGGAGAAAGGGGGGGAUCUUCGGACCUCUCGCUAUCAGAUGAGCCCAAGCCGGAUUAGCUAGUGGUGGGGUAAAGGCCCACCAAGGCGACGAUCCGUAGCUGGUCUGAGAGGAUGAUCAGCCACACUGGAACUGAGACACGGUCCAGACUCCUACGGGAGGCAGCAGU